GUCCUCAAGUACUAACAUUGCUUUUGCUGUCACAUUUGUCCUGGCUUUGCAGAGGUUAAAAAGAUUAUUGCAUAGCAGCUUCCAAGCAUGGAAAAAGGAGGUAAUCAAAUUGGACCACAGCCCAGGGAAACUGUGAGGUCUUACUGAGCACUGCGUGCCAGUGGAAAGAAGCAUUUUGAAAGGUAAACUGGUGGGGGCGAUGGGGUUCAGAUAUUCUCUGAGACCGGGAACGUCACUGCUCUCCCCGGGAAGCUGCUUUAGGCACAGUGCUCCUGCCUGACUCGGGAAGACUGCUCUCCUGGCCUCCUGGAAGUCAUAUGGGAAACAGGGCAACAUCAAACAGAAGGAAACAGAAGACAGAAGACCCAGAGCAACAGAUAUCCUGACUUACUAGAAGAGUACAGACACAUUUCAUGAGUAAUCUAAGAAGGAAAACAUCAUUUUAUCUCCAAAU
rnacentral:lncRNA from 1 species